UGUUAAAGGUUUCAUCUAUCUGUACUGUUAAAAAUUGACGUGAUUGACGAAAUAACUAAACAUGUGUACAUCAUGCUAAUAUAUAAGAGCCAAUUUUUAACAGUAGAAAUAGAUUAAACUUUUAACA
rfam:Gossypium raimondii Chr04_contig_1092, whole genome shotgun sequence.